GGUUGGUCAAGAUUCAAAGACUCGCAGGUCUCCAAGGUGAGUUAUCAAAAGGUAAGAAAGCAUAUGAAAGAUAUGAAAACAGUAAUUUUUAGUCGGGCUCGCAGGCCCACAAUGUUGACGCACUUGCAAGUCCCUUUUAUCUUAUUUUACGAGCAUUUCUCAAUUACAGUUCCUAUUACGGCUUGGCCUAGUGUGCGGGUCAUGUGUUUAUAUGUUAUACAUUACAUUUACUGCAAUUGUAGUUUGUGUGUGGGCUAUACAGAGGCUCGCCGGCCUCUCGUCCAACUUGCCGGUCGGGAUAAUGACCUGAGUCCUUGUGAGUUUUACGUUCAAGUCUCUAUGUGUCCUCUUAUUGGCGUGUGUGUCUAUUCGGAUUGGGGUUAUUGUCCCUUGGCGCUCCUCUGGAGGGGGGGGGGAAAGUUAGGGUUGGGGUGGGGAGGGGUGUUAGGGUAGUCAGUCGUCUGUCGUCAAGUGUGUGAUCCCUAAGUCCUUCCUGUCUGUGGUGUGGCAUUUGCCAGAUCUAGUUCCCUUUGGAAUCCUUCCUUCGCCGUCUCUAGGAUCCAAUGUGUCCAUAUGUCCAUGUAGGUUGUCGGGGUAGUGUUAGUCAUCAGGGUCAGUUCCUCUAUUGUCCUCAGUUCCUCCAUUUGGCUAAACCAGGUCUUAAGUGGAGGUGUUAUGGCCUGUUUCCAGAAUUGGGGGAGCACUCGUUUGGCUACAUUGAGUAUUCGAAUGGUCAUAGAUUUUUUGUAUUUGGAAUGAGGAGUAGAGGUGUGGUGCAGGAGCAUUGCUGCCAGUUCUAGGGGGGGUGGUUUGUCCGUAAAUUUCUCUAGCAUUUUGUGGAUGUUUUGCCAGUAUGGUUUGAUCUUUGCGCAUUCCCACCAUAUGUGUUAUACUACCCUCCUCUUGUUGGCAUCUCCAGCAUAGGCCGGGUUGAUCUGGGUCUAUCUGGUGAAGGAAGUGAGGUGUCCUGUACCAUUGUGUCAGUAGUUUGUAGGCUGUCUCUUGUGUUUUGCUGUGCGUGGAGCAGUGGUGUGCGAGGUAACAUAUGGACUCCCAUUCCUUAUUUGUCAGCGUGUAUCCGAGGGCUUCCUCCCAUUUCCUCAUAAAUAGGGGUGUCUCGGUCGGGAUGUCCGUUUGUAGCAUGGUGUAAAGGAAAGAUACUCCAUGUGGGAGCGGGUCUGGGUGCAUACAGACCACUUCCAGUGUGGUAUGUUGUCUAGUGAGCGCUGAGCCCUGUGGUAAGGUAUGGACAAAGUUGGUUAGCUGGGUAUAUCUGAAGUGCUGCAUGAAGGUUGGGUGCGUCUCUGUCGUCAUGUCUGUCAGUUUUUUACAUUUCCCUCCCUGCAGGACAUGGUGUAGGCGUGGGUGUGGGUCUGGGAGGAUGUCUUUAAAGGCUCUUGGGUCUAGUCCCGGGGGAAAGUCGACGUUGUGCGUCAGUAGGAGGGGGGAGGGGUAUGGUGACAUGGUCCCCUUCCUCGUUGUCCUCCUCCAUACUUUCAUGGUGUGUUUUGUGUAGAUGGACAUUUCGCCCCAUUUUGCCGUUUCUCGGCCCCAGGGUAGUCCCGAGAGUGUUCUGCCUGCCUCCGUCUCUUCCACCGUCUUCCAGAGUUUGUGCACGCUGUCUUUUGACCACUCCACAAUUCUCUGGAGGUGUGUGGCCACAUAAUAUAGGUGGAAGUCUGGGAGGGCUAAUCCUCCUUUAUCCUUAGGUCGUGUCAGGGUGGAGAAUUUCACUCUAGGUCUCCUUCCGUUCCAUACGUAUCUGGUCAUUUCUGUUCUAAGGGUACUAACAAAAGGGCCCGGGAUCUCGAUGGGGAUAGCUUGGAGGAGGUAUAGGAGGCGUGGAAGGAAGUUCAUUUUUAUUACCUGAACUCUCCCUAACCAUGAGAUGUGGGGGUACGACCAUUCUCGCAUGUCUUUUUGGAACGUCUGGAGUGUAUCUGUGAAAUUUUCCUUGAACAUGUCCUCACUUCGGUUGGUCAGCCAGACUCACAAAUAUCUAAUUUUAUGUUCGGCCCAUUGGAAGGGGAAGCUUUGUCGGAGGGGGUUCGCCCGUUCAGUACGCUUACGUUAAGGAUGAAGGAUUUGCCGUAGUUAAUUUUCAAAUUGGAGAUUUUCCCAUAUAGCUGUAGAUCCCUCUGUAUGUAUGGGAGGGAGAUUUCAGGGUUCGUUACCAUAAAGAGUAGGUCGUCUGCGUAUGCAGCUACCUUGUGUUGCGUGUUAUCAGUCCGGUUAUGUCUGUGUUGUGUCGGAUGUGUGUAAGGAAUGGUUCCAGGGCAAGGUCGAACAGGAGUGGGGAGAGGGGGCAACCUUGUCUCGUGCCGUUAUGUAUUGUGAAGGCGUCAGUUAACGCCCCGUUGACCAGCACCUGGGCCGUAGGUUCUCGGUACAAUGCCUCUAUCCAGCGUCGCAUGUGUGGCCCCAGUCCUACAUGGGCAAGUGUUUCGAAAAGAUAUGUCCAGCCGACCCUAUCGAAGGCCUUCUCUGCGUCUGUUGACAGCAGGAGAAGGCCCCGUUUCGUACCCUCUUUCCCAUGCAUGAGGGUAAGUGCCCUGAUGGUGUUGUCCAGAGCCUCUCGGCCUGUCACGAAUCCCACCUGGUCUGGGUGGAUCAGUGAUGGGAUGUGUUGUGUGAGUCGAGUCGCCAGAAUUUUGGCCAAUAGUUUAAUGUCGCUAUUUAUAAGUGAGAUCGGUCUGUAGUUUCCGCAUUGUUCCCUGUCUUUGCCGUCUUUGGGGAUAAUAGUGAUGUGGGCUGUUAGGGCUUGUCUGGGGAAAUGGUUUCCGUCUCUUAUCGAAUUGAACGCUUCUAUCAUGAGUGGGUAUAAGUCUUCAGCGUAUGUCUUAUAAUAUUUAGUCGGUAAGCCGUCUGGUCCCGGGCUUUUGCCCGGUUUGGUUUGUUUAACCGCUAGAGCUAGUUCCUCUAUUGUGAUGGGUUCGUCUAUUACCUCCGCUAUCUCCGCGUCGAGUGUCGGUGUCUGGUAUUUUGUCAAGUAGGCUCGGAUAGAGUCUCUGAGGCGUGUCGUCGCCCCGUUGGUCUUCGGUUGGGGGAGCGUGUAGAGAUCAGUGUAGUAUGUGCGGAACGUUCUCAUGAUGGCUGUCGGGAGGCGGUGUAGGGUGCUCUGUUUGUCUCUAAUUUUAUCAAUGUAUGUGUGUUGCCUCUGCUUUUUCAGCAUCGCGGCUAGGAGUUUUCCGCUUUUGUUCCCGUGUACUGUGAAGAAGGCUUUGUGCCUAGUUGCGUCCCUGUGAUGUUUAGCCUGCAAUAGUGUGGCUAGUUCCCGUCUCAGUUGUAGGAGUCGGGUUUGGUGUGUGUGGUUCGGGGUUUGUUUAUUUUGAUUGUCUGUCUCAUGUAUGUUGGUCAGCAGUGCCUGUAGCCGAGCUUCAGCCUGUUUCUUCAGUAUUGCCCCCUGUUGUAUGUAGUGGCCUCUUAUCACGCUUUUGUGUGCUUCCCAUCGAAUCGUCGGGGAUGUUUGCUCUGCUGUGUUAGUUGUCAGGUAGUCCUUGAUUUUUUCACCUAUUAGGGUUGUGACCUCUAGUUUGGUGAGUAGGUAUUCGUUCAAUCUCCAUUUCGAGGUCGUGGGGCGGUAAAGUGGUGAUUUAAGUUUAAGUAAGACUGGGGCGUGGUCUGACCAUGUGGCCACUCCGAU